GGCCCCAUCGUCUAGUGGCCUAGGACACCGGCCUCUCACGCCGGUAACAGGGGUUCGAGUCCCCUUGGGGUCACCA
rnacentral:tRNA from 3 species